UGGCUAAUUUUUGUAUUUUUAGUACAGACGGGGGUUUCACCAUGUUGGCCAGGCUGGUCUCGAACUCCUGACCUCAGGUGAUCCGCCCUCCUUGGCCUCCCAAAGUGCUGGGAUUACAGGUGUGAGCCACCACACCCGGCCUCAUAUCUCCUUUUAAAUAUGCCAAGGGACUUGGUUAUUUAAAGGAAUCUACUGGCAAAUGUUCUUCUUGGAAAAUGAAAGAUUUUGUAAUUAAAAUAAUCACCCCAUGUUAUGUUUUUUACAAGUCUGAUUGUAUUUUAGCACCAGAUUUUUCUUGGCAGGUGGGAGGUGUCUGGUUUGAGUGGGAAGAGUAUUGCCCAGAGGGGGAGACCAAGAGCCAAAGCUAGAAGCCCAUUUGCUAUUUUAUCCUUUUCCGUCUUGUUCUUCAAUCUAAGGGGCAAGAUGGGACUUAGACCAGGAGUGGACAUGAUUGCACUGACCGAGGAUUUCUCUGUCUGGGUAGUUGUCACUCCUAUGCCAGGAGAGCAUUGCCUUGCCCACCAAGACUCCCCACAGUGGUCUCCACCGCAGCCUGCUUGGCACACCAAACCAAAUCACCAGCAUCUGCAAGGCCUGCAUCAUUCAUGUUUUGGUAAAGAUCAAGGAAAUGAAAGGAAAGGGUAAUCAGAAAUUCUCACACCAGAAACCAAAGAAAUCCUUUGUAAUUUUUCCACGUAGUCAUCCGAGGAGGAAUUAUCAAAAAAUUCAAUGACACUUUCUCACAGAGGGUUCUCAUCUUGGGAAUCUUAAUGGGAUUCUUCUCACGCAUUUGAGUUUGCCUGGAUUUGUCUCUGUGUACUUAACUGAUUCACAGAGCCAUUUUGUGUUGUGAAAACUCUGGGGUCAUGAAUAGGGAAGGGGUGGGAAGACAAUCCCAGACUAAAGCCUGGGGUCCUGGAAUAAUUGCUGUGCGGCAUUGGCUUCUUUAUGAAUCUUCACUUACUGUUGUUUAAAUUAUGUUUAAAAACCUGAAAAGCUCUGUCUAAUAGCUGAGCCAUAUAUAGAUCAACGCUUCCCAAACUUUUCCAUUGAGGUGCCUCUAAUGCAGCAGAAGGGUUGAACCACACUCUGCCCCUGGCCCUCCUACUCUCCUGAUGUCUGUGGGUCAUGGAAGGAAAUCCACAACAUAUCCUCCUCAAAGUCUUCUAUUCUAGCUAAAAAAUUCGCAUAGAUAUUGCACCUCUGCUUUGGGCCUUCGAGUGUGAGUUACCCUAGCACAGGAAGAUGGUCACAGGUUGAGCUUCCACCAGCUGAGCUGUCAGAUUAACUCUGGAUCAGCUAACUCCAGCUUUGAGGUCACAUGUGAGGCCAAAUGUCUCAGGGUCAUAGGUCUAUUACAUUUUCUUACAGCAGUAAAAGUAACCGGACUGUUACCAUCAGAAUUAUGAACUACAGAUCCUUUCUCAAAUACGAAUGGAUACACUGAAAUCAGUGGCAUUCAAGAAGCCCUGAGGAGAGGUCCACAUGGUGAGCCACUGAGGGCCUUGCCAAGAGCCAGCACCAACAUGCCAGGUUUGGAGUGUACCACCUUGGAAGUGAAUCUUCCAGUCCAGUCAAGCCUUCAGGUGACUUCAGAACCGUCCCUGUAAGCCACUCUUGGAUUUCUGACCCACAGAAACUGUUGGAGGCAUUAUCAACAGUUUCUAACAUCAGAGACAGACAAACAUGUGCCUCCUGAUUGAAAAAACAGAGCAUCACCUGUAGCCUUGCCAGUGAGAUCAAACUGAAGUCCAAUUAACCUCUGGAUCCAGCUGCCAAUUUGCAGGAAAUAGAGGACAGAAGCAUCUGUUGAACUGCACCAUGCGUAUACACUCAGCAGAGGCCAAACUGGAAAAUGAUACAGGCCAAACAGCCUUUAACAGGAAGUGAUGUUUCUGAAGCACCAAUGAAAAUGAAGUCCUGAAGUCUUGUGCUCAAUAUGUAAUGUUGGAAGUUAGAAAGAAGAAAACAAAACGUGGAUCCAAUCUCAAGGCACUUUUGGUUUAGUGGGAAGAAGUGGAUUAUUUUAAAAGCUACAAAUAAAGUUACAUA